UCGGGUGCUCUGAGUCCCUGUAGGACUCAGGAAGAGCUGCUGGGCAAUCGCAGCAGAAGUGAUACAAACUGGGCUGAGCAACAGGAAAGGGAAAAGAAAAGCCUUUAAAAUCAGCAUAGCUGCAGACAUUAUGGAACAUCUUGAAGAGCAGGAGAAGAAGCAGAUUUGCUGGCUGGUUACAUCUGUGGAUGUAAUGCACUUCUCUGGAGCCUUGGCUUGUAUGGACUAGUUCUACUGAAUCAUAGCUGCAAGAAAACAAGAGAUUUAACUACAGGAAGAAAAAAAGUCAAGCAGUAUUUCAACAUGAAGGCCCAGGAUAAGAAGAAAGAAGAAAAAUACCAUGAGAAAGGGGCUGCACUUAAGCCAUUCAGACUCUCCGGCAUUAAUGGAAGCUGGUGAAGAAGGUGCUUUAGGUUUCCAGACUUCAUUGUGGUGCUGAGUGAUGGCAAUGAGAUCCAUCUGAUUUUGGGCUGAAUCAAAGCUCUCCGCUGGAUCAGAGAUCAAAGCCCUCAAGGCCAGAGGAGCCUUAUCUGCCUGCAGGAUUCCCCACAGAAACAAAGCACAGUAGCCCUCACCAAUCCAUGCAUUUGUACAUGCCAUAUCCUGACAGCACAGGAAUGAAAUUUGUUACACAGCUCAAGACGUCCAAAGAAGAGAAGGCCAUGGCAGAAGUUCUCCUUUACUCAGCAUUUCCCUUCUGAGUCCCUGAGUGAAAACCACCACGCCCACAGUGACCCACAUCUCACUGGUCCCUCAGUCCUGGCGUCAUCUCAGGAUAAGGAACACCUUCCACAUGGACAAGCAGCUCCUCCUUGAGCUGGCUCCUGGAAAGCCUUGAUGAAGGAAAACUUGGAGCCAUGGCU